CUUAAUACUAUUCUAUCUACUUUUAAGACUUGCUAGAAAACUUUCAUUAUAAAAAUGACCCAUAAAUUCAUUAUCCAGAUUUCAUUACUACGAACAUUUUUGUGUGGUUCCAUAUAAUCUUUUCCAUAUUAGUGUUUUAUUUUCGAAAUGCUGCUACAUUCAGUGAGUACUUGUUUCAUUACCUGAUAAAACUUGACAACGUUUGUUUUCACCUGCUGGCCCUUAAAAAGAAGGGAAUAAUCCGAACUUUUGUUAGGGAUAGGGUUUAAAUCCCAAAAUGAAAAUAAAUGAAAAAUGCCUAGAAUACUAAAGUGUUGCAGUGUUGUAACCACCUAGCCCAGUGCCUAGUACUCAGUAAAUAAAUGGAACCUCAGUAAAUGAGCAGAAUUCAGACAUGAUGUGUUAUCAUCAUGACCUCAUAUAUUAGGAAUUUUGACCUCAUAUAUUAGGAAUUCCAGAGUGAAUCCACAUCAUCCUGAGUUGAGACAGAGGUUGCUUUACUUCCUGAGUAGCUUUUGAAUCUUGAGUUUUACAUCAUGGAUGUAGCUAUAGAUUCUCUCACUGCCCCUUUCAUGAAUGGAAGGCUGGCCGUUUUGGGGGGUGAAGGGGAAACUUAUGUCAUUAUCAACUUGUUUGCUUCCUUGCCAAGCCAAGAUCUCCUUCAGGAACCAUAUCUGAGUCACUGGAAAAGCAGAAAAAAGAUCUCGUGAUGGUAUAAAAGAGAAAUGAUUCUGUGACAACUCUAACUUAAUUACUCAGCAUUUGAGUGAAAGAACAAUCUCUGAAGUGGGGAGGAAACAGUGGAAUGUGUGGGUUGGGGGGGGAGAGGGCUGUGCCAACAUUGCCAUCAACACAUUAAUUCACAUUACACUAGCUUUCAAGGACAAGCUCCAGAAUCCUAUUCAAAAGUCGAUGCCACCAAAUACGAGAGGAAAUGUGCUCUCAGCCUAGCUGCAUUUUCAGCUUUUUAUACCUAUAACCUGACAGAUUUCAUCGAAGACUAAAUAUAAAGACUAUAUAAAGACUGGAUGUGAAGAAAGAUGUAGACAGAGAGGAGAGAAUGAGGGAGAGCGAGAGCAGGAG
rnacentral:lncRNA from 1 species